CUCUGUGCCUCUUCGCCUUCAUUCACUCGACUGAACGCAGACCCAGCACGGGCAGGCGAACAAACAAACGAAGGAGCGAACAAACGCUAACCGCUCUCAGGGUCCCUGCACGGGGGCCAGGAGCUAAUGACAGGGCUAACAGCUAUUUAUCCUAAGCCGCAGAGGUUAAAAAUGCGCAGAGGAAAGCCCUUAUUAAAUGGGUCGUGGCCCAGAAAUGGGAUAGCACUUGAAAAAUAGUAAGAGAGGCAGCUGUUUCAUGUCGGGCUGAUGAUGUGACAGGCGGAAGUUGUUGAUGCAA